CAGCCGCCGCGGUAAUACGUAGGGUGCGAGCGUUGUCCGGAAUUACUGGGCGUAAAGGGCUCGUAGGUGGUUUGUUGCGUCGUCUGUGAAAUUCUGGGGCUUAACUCCGGGCGUGCAGGCGAUACGGGCAUAACUUGAGUGCUGUAGGGGUAACUGGAAUUCCUGGUGUAGCGGUGAAAUGCGCAGAUGUCAGGAGGAACACCGAUGGCGAAAACACUCUGCUGGGCCGACACUGACACUGAGAGACGAAAGCUAGGGGAGCAAAUGGGAUUAGAGACCCGCGUAGUCCCUGUCUCUUAUA
rnacentral:rRNA from 1 species